rnacentral:rRNA from 1 species
ACGGGGUGCAGCAGGCGCGAAAACUUUGCAAUGUGCGAAAGCACGACAAGGUUAAUCCGAGUGGUUUCUGCUAAAGGAACCUUUUGACAGUCCUAGAAACACUGUUGAAUAAGGGGUGGGCAAGUUCUGGUGUCAGCCGCCGCGGUAAAACCAGCACCUCAAGUGGUCAGGAUGAUUAUUGGGCCUAAAGCAUCCGUAGCCGGCUCAGUAAGUUUUCGGUUAAAUCUGUACGCUCAACGUACAGGCUGCCGGGAAUACUGCAGAGCUAGGGAGUGGGAGAGGUAGACGGUACUCGGGAGGAAGUGGUAAAAUGCUUUGAUCUUUCGAUGACCACCUGUGGCGAAGGCGGUCUACCAGAACACGUCCGACGGUGAGGGAUGAAAGCUGGGGGAGCAAACCGGAUUAGAUACCCGGGUAGUCCCAGCUGUAAACUAUGCAAACUCAGUGAUGCAUUGGCUUGUGGCCAAUGCAGUGUUGCAGGGAAGCCGUUAAGCUUGCCGCCUGGGAAGUACGUACGCAAGUA